CUAACUGAUGUCAGUUGGUCAGAAUUAAUACAAGAGAAGAAGAAUAUUCAUAGUGGGAUAGGCACUGGGAAGGUAGAGACCAGGAUGACAGGACUCCCACCCCUAAGAGCCAGCAGGAAGACAUCCAGUACAAACAGGUACACAGCAGCUGAGUGCUUGGUGCACGUUCAAGAUUUCUAUUCAAGACUCUCGGAGGAAAACCAGUGACCUCCAGGAGGCCAGCUGCCUUUUCCCACAGAGCACAGUCAUCUGGCCUCCCUUCCAGCUCUACCAGGUUCCGUCUCCUCCCAGCUCACAUGUAUCAGGCAAAGGGCGAGACCCUAUGGUCAAACUGCAAAGCGACUGAAGCAUAUCAUCCGCCACUCUUAGAUACACAGCAAAGAAGAACAUCAAGAGGACAUUUCUAAUCCCUUUCCCUUCCUCCUCUUGUUCCUCUUCUAACCUCUUCCCAUGGAAAGCCACGGGAAGAGUCAUCAGAAGACAAACUCUCCAAAUAGAAAGCCAUCUGCCUCCAUGAAGAGGACACUUAGGCCCAGAAAACAAUGAGUCUCUGACAAAGACUAACAAGCACAAAAUUGCAGCGGGUAGGAGGAAAGGACCCUUGUCUGCCUGUUUCUUUCCUUCUAUCCUUGCAGGUCAGGGAUCUUCAGAAGCAGGGCUCAUUCUUCUUGCUUUGGGGAUGCAUCGUGUGUGUUUACUGCCCUGAAGAGCGCUAAACAACCACAGGAUUUCUAAAUAUUUGCAUUCCAUAACUGUCCUUGGGCAGAAUCUGCUGGGCUGAGUCAUCCUGGGGACACCUUCCCCUCUCUCCGUUGAGGAGCUGCUGACCAGUGAAGCAGUUUCACUUCCUCCACUUGGUGGCUGAUGGGUGCUCCUUCAGCCUGGUUACAGCUCUCCUUUGGGACCCUACCAUGAGGUAUCUGCCUACCCUCACUGCUGAGACCCAAGGGCCUGACUGCCUGAAUUAAUAAGGCUUGUCAUUCCCCACUGCCAGGACUCGGGUUCUUUCUGACUCUCUCCUCUUUUCCUUCCUUUUCCUCUCUUUCUCAGGCCAAAAUAAACCCAAACCAAAUCCUCCGGAUAGGGGAGUU
rnacentral:lncRNA from 1 species